AUACUUACCUGGCAGGGGAGAUACCAUGAUCACCAAGGUGGUUUUACCAGAGCCAGGGCGAGGCUUAUCCAUUGUACCCCGAAUGUGUUGAUCCCUGAGAUUUCCCACAUAUGGGAAACUCAUCUGCAUAAUCUGUGGUAGUGGGGGGACUGCAUUCUCACACCCCCCAA
ensembl:snRNA U1 U1 spliceosomal RNA